rnacentral:rRNA from 1 species
CGAAGGUGGCAAGCGUUACUCGGAAUUACUAGGCGUAAAGGGCAGGUAGGUGGUCUGAUAAGUCUAUUGUGAAAGCUCCCGGCUUAACUGGGAGAGGUCAACAGAUACUGUCAGGCUUGAGUAUAGGAGAGGGUACUGGAAUUCCCGGUGUAGCGGUGAAAUGCGCAGAGAUCGGGAGGAACACCAAUGGCGAAAGCAGGUACCUGGACUAUUACUGACACUCAGCUGCGAAAGCUAGGGGAGCAAACAGGAUUAGAUACCCUGGUAGUCCUAGCCGUAAACGAUGCACAUUAGGCGUGAGGGGUGUCGACCCCCUCCGUGCCGACGCAAACGCAUUAAAUGUGCCGCCUGGGGAGUACGGCCGCAAGGUUG